GUGCACGGUCAUAGCCAUGGGGUCUACCCGGUCCCAUUCCGAACCCGGAAGUCAAGCCCAUGUGCGUCUGUCCCUGUACUGUGGUGCGAGAGCCCAUGGGAAAGGUAGUCACUGUGCCCA
rnacentral:rRNA from 1 species